rnacentral:rRNA from 1 species
UACGUAGGGUGCGAGCGUUAAUCGGAAUUACUGGGCGUAAAGCGUGCGCAGGCGGUGAUGUAAGACCGAUGUGAAAUCCCCGGGCUUAACCGGGGAACUGCAUCUGAUACUGGAUGGCUUGAGUUCGGGAGAGGGAUGCGGAAUUCCAGGUGUAGCGGAUGAAAUGCGUAGAUAUCUGGAGGAACACCGGUGGCGAAGGCGGCAUCCUGGACCGACACUGACGCUGAGGAGCGAAAGCCAGGGGAGCAAACGGG